UCGUUGUAGCAAUACGAUGGAAAAUUUAGUGGCGAACGGGUGCUUAACACGUGGGCAACCUGCCAGGAAGUGGGGGAUAGCUCGCCGAAAGGCGAAUUAAUACCGCAUGUGAUUAGAGAGGACAUCCUUUCGAAAUUAAAGUCGGGGCAACCUGACGCUUCUUGUGGGGCCCGCGGCCUAUCAGCUAGUUGGUGAGGUAACGGCUCACCAAGGCUUUGACGGGUAGCUGGUCUGAGAGGACGACCAGCCACACUGGGACUGAGACACGGCCCAGACACCUACGGGUGGCAGCAGUCGAGAAUUUUUGACAAUGGGGGAAACCCUGAUCGAGCGACGCCGCGUGGAGGAUGAAGGUCUUCGGAUUGUAAACUCCUGUCAUUGGGGAACAAUGCACAGAUAUUAACUGUAUUUGUGUUGAUAGUACCCGAAGAGGAAGAGACGGCUAACUCUGUGCCAGCAGCCGCGGUAAUACAGAGGUCUCAAGCGUUGUUCGGAUUCAUUGGGCGUAAAGGGUGCGUAGGCGGCGCGGUAAGUCGGGUGUGAAAUCUCGGAGCUUAACUUCGAAACUGCAUUCGAUACUGCCGUGCUUGAGGACUGGAGAGGAGACUGGAAUUCUCGGUGUAGCA
rnacentral:rRNA from 1 species